rnacentral:other from 2 species
AAGUCUCUGCCCUGUGCGACACCGGACCUUAAUUUGUUGGCCCUACAAGUUCUCCCGCGGGAACUUUUGAGUUCGGGCAACCGUGUCACCAUCAGCGUGAACCACGAGACCCUGAGCCGAGAUUCCCACUUUUUGAAUGCGGGUUCAGAACAAAUUUCGUUCGAACGGCAGGGCGGUGACUUU